GGGGCAGGGGAGGGACAGGGUCCGGUGCCUCGGCCUUUGUGUGUAGGAGGGGGGUCUACAGCGCGGCAGAGGCUUUCAGGGUGAUAAUGCUGUGCCUUGACCUGUGUGUGUGUGGUGUUGCGGUGUCCUGUGGCACCUGGACCAUUGGGAGAGUCCUCCGGAGGGGCCGCUCUGCUUGGACCAGCCACUGACCCCACUCCAGGCCAUGGAGGUCCCGACUCCGCUUGAGAGUGGCUGGCUGGAUGGCCAGAGGGACCCACAUCUCCAUCCAGGUCACCGGCAAUGGUGGCUGUGACCCCUGCUGCCCACCGCAGCCUCUGCAGGGGGCUUGUUUCCUCCCGUCAGGCAGUUCCUGUGGGGGCCCACAAACCAGUGGCCAAUGCUUCUGCUGCCACCCCUGGGGCAGGUGACUACUGACCUCCAGUCCAUGGUGGGAGCCUACGAGGAGAAGCUCCAGGGCCUGGCCGAGGAGAACGAGGCCCUCUGGCUCCAGGUGUCUGGGCACCGGCCAGCUCCCCCCCAUCACCAGCUGUCCAUCUGUCCAUCUCCUCCGCCUGGGCCUUUGCCUGUCCCAAAGCUCCUCCGGCCCAGCCAUCCUCCUCUCAGGAAUGGAAAGCAAAGAGGCCCCCCUCUCCCUCCCCUAGGUCCCUGAGGAGAGGAAGCAGUCUGGGGAGCUGAGGAGGGGCCUUCCUGAGACCCCAUCCCAGUGAGAGGAAGAAGGAGAUGCCCAGACCCGCUGCCUGCACCCCAGUCUGGCCUGGAGCCUGGCAGCCAGCAACCCAUUGGCCUUCUGCUCCUGGAUGGCGUUGUGCAGGUGCCAGCACUUUUUCUCCGACUUGUGAAGCUUCUGCUCCAGUUCAGCCACCUUUAUUUAUUACCUCUUCAUUUUUCAAUAGAUCCUAAUCGAGUUUCCAAAAAUAUUUCUUAGCUGGUUCCCUUAGAUUUAGUGAUAUCGGUUUAUGGUCGGAUAUUUCCCUAUUUAGAACUGAGAUCGUAUCCACUUCUUUAAUCAAUGAGUUGGAGACCAAGAAAAAAUCAAUCCUUGACUCCAUUUUUAACUGAUUGUAUAUACAGCAUAAGUUUUAUUAUUAAUUAUUAUUAUAAUAGUUAUUAUUAAUACAUUAUUAUGUUAUUAUUAUUUUAUU